UACGUAGGUGGCAAGCGUUAUCCGGAAUUACUGGGCGUAAAGCGCACGCAGGCGGUCUUUUAAGUUUGACGUGAAAGCUCCCGGCUUAACUGGGAGAGGUCGUUGAAUACUGGAAGACUUGAGGCAAUGAGAGGGUCGUGGAAUUCCCGGUGUAGCGGUGAAAUGCGUAGAGAUCGGGAGGAACACCAGAGGCGAAAGCGGCGACCUGGACAGGCACUGACACUCAACUACGAAAGCGUGGGGAGCAAACAGG
rnacentral:rRNA from 1 species